UGUCCCGGACGAGGGGGCGUGUCCCGCGCAGGUGAGCCAGGAGAUCCUGGAGCUGCUCAACACCACCACGGCCAAGGAGCAGUCGAUCGUGGAGAAGUUCCGGUCGCGCGGGCGCGCGCAGGUGCAGGAGUUCUGCGACCACGGCACCAAGGAGGAGUGCGUCAAGGCCUCGGGCGCCGAGCGGCCCUGCCGCCGCCUGCACUUCCGGUGCGUCACCGGGAAUCCCGGAUUGAUUCGGGAAUUUGGGGGGAUGUUAUUGGGAUUUUUGGGGGGUUUUUUUGGAUUUAUUUUGGAAUUUUUUGGGGAUUUUUUUCCUGAUUUUUGGGGAUUUAUUCAGAAUUUUUGGGGAUUUUUUUUGGAUUUUUUCCCGGAUUUUUAGGGGUUUAUUUAGGACUCCUUGGGAUUUUUUUUGGAUGUAUUUGGGAUUUUUUGGGGAUUUUUUUUGGAUUUUAUCCCGGAUUAUUGGGGAUUUAUUCAGAAUUUUUUGGGAUUUAUUUGGGAUUUUUUGGGAUUUUUUUUGGAAUUUUUUUUGGAUUUUUUCCCGGAUUUUUGGGGAUUUAUUCAGAAUUUCUUGGGAUUUUUUUUGGAUUUUUGGGGGUUUUUUGGGGGGUUUAUUCAGGAUUUCUUGGGAUUUUUUUUGGAUUUAUUUGGGAUUUAUUUGGGAUUUAUUUGGGAUUUUUUUGGGAUUUUGGGGGGUUUUUUUGGAUUUAUUUUGGAAUUUUUUUUGGAUUUUUUUCCUGAUUUUUGGGGAUUUAUUCAGAAUUUUUUGGGAUUUAUUUGGAAUUUUUUGGGAAUUUUUUUUGGAUCUUUUCCCGGAUUUUUGGAAAUUUAUUCAGAAUUUUUUGGGAUUUUUUUUCCGGAUUUUUAGGGGUUUAUUUAGGAUUUCUUGGGAUUUUUUCGGGAUUUUUUUUUCCCAAUUUCUGGGGGUUAUUUGGGAAUUCCAGGGAUUUAGUUGGGAAUUUUUUGGGAUUUCCCCCCAUUUCCGCCUGUUUCCCCCCAUUUUUUGGCUGUUUUUUCCCCCAAAACCCCAUUUUUUGGGUGUUUCCCCCACCCAAAUCCCAUUUUCUGGCUGUUUUUCCCCAUUUCUGCCUUUUCCCCCCAUUUUUGGGUGUUUUCCCCCCCAAACUCCCAUUUUCUGGCUGUUUUUCCCCAUUUUCUGUCUGUUUUUCCCCAUUUCCGGCUGUUUUUCCCCAUUUUCUGGCUGUUUUCCUCCCCAAAUCCCAUUUUCUGUCUAUUUUUCCCCAUUUCCGCCUGUUUUUCCCCAUUUCCACCUGUUUUUCCCCCAAAUCCCAUUUCCUGUCUGUUUUUCCCCAUUUCCUGUCUGUUUUUCCCCCAAAUCCCAUUUUCUGGCUGUUUUUCCCCAUUUCCGGCUGUUUUUCCCCCAAACUCCCAUUUUCCGCCUGUUUCUCCCCAAUUCCCGCCUGUUUUUCCCCAUUUCUGGCUGUUUUUCCCCCAAACUCCCGUUUUCUGUCUGUUUUUCCUCAAUUCCCGCCUGUUUUUCCCCAUUUUCUGUCUGUUUUUCCCCAUUUCCGGCUGUUUUUCCCCUCAAACUCCCAUUUUCUGGCUGUUUUUCCCCCCAAAAUCCCAUUUUUUGGAUAUUUUUCACCCCAAAAAAAAACCCCCAAAAUCCCAUUUUCUGUCUGUUUUUCCCCAUUUCCGCCUGUUUUCCCCCCAAUUUCCGCCUGUUCCCCCCGCCAGCCGCAUCAUCAACAAGCACACGGACGAGUCCCUGGGCGACUGUUCCUUCCUCAA
rnacentral:lncRNA from 1 species